GAAGUAAGUUGCUUCACCAAGUGUUGAAUAGAUACCCCAAGCGCAUUUGCCAAAGGGUAAGCGAAAAGUACUAUCAAUUAAAUAAAAUGGUGAAACAAAAGAAUAGCGAAGAAGAAGCAAAUGCGCUUCACGCUAAUUCCAAGUACCAACACAAAACAAAUUCAAUGUUUGGUGAAGCAACUUGCUUAGUGGCGGACGGGUGAGUAACGCGUGAACAAUCUGCCCCGUACAAAGGGAUAGCCUCGGGAAACCGGGAUUAAAACCAUAUAACACUUAACUGCCGCAUGGUAAUAAAGUCAAAUCGAGUAAGAGGUAUGGGAUGAGUUCGCGUCUGAUUAGCUAGUUGGUGAGGUAAGGGCUCACCAAGGCGACGAUCAGUAGCCGGCCUGAGAGGGUGAACGGCCACACUGGAACUGAGACACGGUCCAGACUCCUACGGGAGGCAGCAGUGGGGAAUAUUGCACAAUGGAGGGAACUCUGAUGCAGCGACGCCGCGUGAGUGAAGAAGGUCUUCGGAUCGUAAAACUCUGUCCUUGGUGAAGAAAAGGACGGUAGCCAAGGAGGAAGUCCCGGCUAACUACGUGCCAGCAGCCGCGGUAAUACGUAGGGGGCGAGCGUUGUCCGGAUUUACUGGGCGUAAAGGGUGAGUAGGCGGUUAUAUAUGUCA
rnacentral:rRNA from 1 species